rnacentral:rRNA from 1 species
UACAGAGGCCUCGAGCGUUAGGCGGAAUCACUGGGCUUAAAGCGUGUGUAGGCGGACUUCUAAGUACCUUGUGAAAUCCCACGGCUUACCCGUGGAACUGCUCGGUAUACUGGUUGUCUUGAGCCACCUAGGGGCGAGUGGAACAAAUGGUGGAGCGGUGAAAUGCGUAGAUAUCAGGAGGAACACCUGUGGCGAAAGCGGCUCACUGGACCAUAACUGACGCUGAUGCACGAAAGCUAGGGGAGCAAACAGG